AGUGAACGCUGGCGGUAGGCCUAACACAUGCAAGUCGAACGGCAGCACAGUAAGAGCUUGCUCUUACGGGUGGCGAGUGGCGGACGGGUGAGGAAUACAUCGGAAUCUACUUUUUCGUGGGGGAUAACGUAGGGAAACUUACGCUAAUACCGCAUACGACCUACGGGUGAAAGCAGGGGAUCUUCGGACCUUGCGCGAUUGAAUGAGCCGAUGUCGGAUUAGCUAGUUGGCGGGGUAAAGGCCCACCAAGGCGACGAUCCGUAGCUGGUCUGAGGGGAUGAUCAGCCACACUGGAGCUGAGACACGGUCCAGACUCCUACGGGAGGCAGCAGUGGGGAAUAUUGGACAAUGGGCGCAAGCCUGAUCCAGCCAUACCGCGUGGGUGAAGAAGGCCUUCGGGUUGUAAAGCCCUUUUGUUGGGAAAGAAAAGCAGCAGGUUAAUACCCCGCUGUUCUGACGGUACCCAAAGAAUAAGCACCGGCUAACUUCGUG
rnacentral:rRNA from 1 species